rnacentral:rRNA from 1 species
AACGAACGCUGGCGGCAUGCCUAACACAUGCAAGUCGAACGAGACCUUCGUGUCUAUUGGCGCACGGGUGCGUAACGCGUGGGAACCUGCCCUUAGGUUCGGAAUUACUCCCCUUAAGGGGUGCUAAUACCGGAUAACGUCUUCGGACCAAGGAUUUAUCGCCCUUGGAUGGGCCGUCGUUGUAUUUGCUGGUUGGUAGGGUAAGAGCCUACGAAGGCGACGAUCCAUAGCUGGCAUGAGAGGAUGGUCAUCCACACUAAGACUGAGACACGGCCCAGAAUCGUACAGGAGGCAGCAGUGGGGAAUAUUGUACAAUGGGGGGAGGCCUGAUCGAGCAAUGCCGCGUGAGUGAUGCAGGCGUUAGGGUUGUAAAGCUCUUUUACCCGGGAUGGUAAUGACGGUACCGGGAGAAUAAGCUCCGGCUAACUCCGUG